GUCUCUGUAGCUCAGUUGGCAGAGCGGUGCCCUCCUAAGGCAAAGGUCGCGGGUUCGAAUCCCGCCUGGGAUG
rfam:Anncaliia algerae PRA339 unplaced genomic scaffold supercont2.86, whole genome shotgun sequence.